UGCCUCCUGCCCGCAGUCCAACCACCUGCCAGGCGAUCUUAAAGAGGCCGCGGCCGCAUUGAGACGCUGCGCGGCAUGGGGAGGGGGUGGCUCAAUGUCCCGGGCGCGGGGUUGAGGAUCCCAGUGUUAGAGCGCUGGAGGCGGGGCCCCAGCCUGUAGCACUCGCUGCACCUGCGGAAUGUCCCUACUACUAGUUUCAGGCGCAGUUUCUCUAUUCACCAUUAGGGGGAAGGGAGCCCAGACCACUUGACAGCGAAUAAUAACAAAAGCUCACUUUGAUUCAGUGCGUUGCACAUGCCAGGGCUUUUACUCACCUCUCGCGUCGUCGUUGCCGAAACCCUAUAAGAUGUGCGUCAAUGUGAGUGUGCCCCAUGCAGAAGUUCCAAGUUCUUCCCCUCACUUGAGCUCGAUCCCAUACAGGUGUUCCUCCUAUAAGGUGCUUUCCCUUACCUCACAGAGUCUUGCUCUGUCACCCAGGCUAGAGUGCAGU